rnacentral:rRNA from 1 species
CUUAGUACGGCGAGUGAGCGGCAAAAGCUCAAAUUUGAAAUCUAGCACUUUCAGUGUUCGAGUUGUAAUUUGAAGAAGGUAACUUUGGAAUUGGCUCUUGUCUAUGUUCCUUGGAACAGGACGUCACAGAGGGUGAGAAUCCCGUGCGAUGAGAUGUCCAAUUCUAUGUAAAGUGCUUUCGAAGAGUCGAGUUGUUUGGGAAUGCAGCUCUAAGUGGGUGGUAAAUUCCAUCUAAAGCUAAAUAUUGGCGAGAGACCGAUAGCGAACAAGUACAGUGAUGGAAAGAUGAAAAGAACUUUGAAAAGAGAGUGAAAAAGUACGUGAAAUUGUUGAAAGGGAAGGGCUUGAGAUCAGACUUGGUAUUUUGUGUUCCUUAUCCUUCUUGGAUUAGGUUCCUCACAGCUUACCGGGCCAGCAUCGGUUUGGAUGGCAGGAUAAUGACAUUGGAAUGUAGCUUUGCUUCGGUGAAGUGUUAUAGACUUUGUUGAUACUGCCUAUCUAGACCGAGGACUGCGUCUUUGACUAGGAUGCUGGCGUAAUGAUCUUAAGCCGCCCGUCUUGAAACACGGACCAAAA